CCUACGUGAGGCAGCAGUGAGGAAUAUUGGUCAAUGGGCGCGAGCCUGAACCAGCCAAGUAGCGUGAAGGAUGACUGCCCUACGGGUUGUAAACUUCUUUUAUAAAGGAAUAAAGUGAGGCACGUGUGCCUUUUUGUAUGUACUUUAUGAAUAAGGCUCGGCUAACUCCGUGCCAGCAGCCGCGGUAAUCCGGAGGAUCCGAGCGUUAUCCGGAUUUAUUGGGUUUAAAGGGAGCGUAGAUGGGUUGUUAAGUCAGUUGUGAAAGUUUGCGGCUCAACCGUAAAAUUGCAAUUGAUACUGGCAGUCUUGAGUACAGUUGAGGUAGGCGGAAUUCGUGGUGUAGCGGUGAAAUGCUUAGAUAUCACGAAGAACUCCGAUUGCGAAGGCAGCUUACUAAACUGCCACUGACAUUGAUGCUCGAAAGUGUGGGUAUCAAACAGGAUUAGAUACCCUUGUAGUC
rnacentral:rRNA from 1 species